AAGAUAAUGGAUUUCCUUGUUUUCUUUAGGGAUAUGAAGUCAAUUUUCCCUGUUGGAGAUUGAAAUGCAAACCUUAGGGACUUGACCUUAAAGGCUACAAAACAAAGAUCACUUACCCACUCAGUUUUUCUUCUGCCGCUUGGACUUUCACAUCAUUAAGUUUUAGGAAACUCUGCAUGAUUUCACUCUCAAGGUAUCCCUCAUGACAAAAGCUGAAGACAGGAUUCCCUUCUAAUAGGGAAGGAGCUCUGUCCUGGAAAGCAUCUGUUGGCAGCAAGAAAUAAGAGCUCUGCCAAUGCACUCACUUUUUAAAGAAUGGCAAAUGUCCAAACCAGAUUCUGCCACUUGAGGACAAGAUGAUAUCAAGUCAGUGGCAUAAACAGAUUGUGG
rnacentral:lncRNA from 1 species